CAAACGGAGAGUUUGAUCCUGGCUCAGGAUGAACGCUGGCGGCGUGCCUAAUACAUGCAAGUCGAACGGUGCAUGUGAGCUUGCUCAUAUGUACAGUGGC
rnacentral:rRNA from 1 species